GCACAUGCGCGGCAGCUCCCGCUGCUGAAUAGCUGAGAGGCGCACCCGGGCGGCCAGCUGGGCUCGGAGUGCAGCGGGGUUAGGAUGGACGAGGACGUGUUGCACCCUGAAGAGCCUCAUCAUCGGUGAGAGUGGGGUGGGCAAGUCCAGCCUGCUCUUGAGGUUCACAGAUGAUACCUUUGAUCCAGAACUUGCAGCAACAAUAGGUACCAACCUUCGCCUUUUCUAUGACGUUUGCAAACUCUCCUACCCACAGGAAGCAGCAGUGGGGAGAGAGCAGGAGGAAGCAGUCCCCACUGUUGAGCGCCGAAGCUCGAGGUUCCACCAGCCUGGUCUGCACAUGUCUUCUUCCUGAACACGAGGCAGACAGUCACCGUCUUUCCAGACAGAACGGGGAUAGGACGCACCCCAUAUCGGAAGCAUCCCUGCUGCGGACGCUUUCACUUCUAAAGAGUCUUGUCUGCUAAUAAGAGUGCCCAUGGCCCAGGGUGGCAGCAGGGGGAUUUAGAAAGGGCAUGAUGAUGGCACUAGCGGCUGCUUUCCUGGUUUGUGCUUUCCCAAAUGUCACCCACUUCUCAGGACCAUUAUCAGUGUCAUGUGCGUGGGUUAAUGAAGGCUCCCCCUUCCAGGGAGAUGAGCACACAGGCUCCUUUUCCCUCCUUCACUCUUCUCCCGGGGCCUUUCUCUCCCCUGGCCACCUCCUGCACCCAAUUACAUCUGUGGCCCAGGCAAGGGAAGCCACGCCUUCAGGAAGGGUCGGCUCUUCCCCUGGGGAGUUUCCACUAUGAACCCUAGGGGCCUCUCAACAGGAAGGAUGGAGGCGCCACCUUCUGUGGCUUUCAACACCUUUUCCUAAAUAUUUGUUGAUUUUGAGCUUUCCACAAUUAAACAGAUCAUGUAGUCUCUGGGUUAGGACUCAGGACAGAGAUUGGUUA
ensembl:lncRNA SVIL-AS1 SVIL antisense RNA 1